GAUGAACGCUGGCGGCGUGCCUAAUACAUGCAAGUCGAGCGAACGGACGAGAAGCUUGCUUCUCUGAUGUUAGCGGCGGACGGGUGAGUAACACGUGGAUAACCUACCUAUAAGACUGGGAUAACUUCGGGAAACCGGAGCUAAUACCGGAUAAUAUUUUGAACCGCAUGGUUCAAAAGUGAAAGACGGUCUUGCUGUCACUUAUAGAUGGAUCCGCGCUGCAUUAGCUAGUUGGUAAGGUAACGGCUUACCAAGGCAACGAUGCAUAGCCUACCUGAGAGGGUGAUCGGCCACACUGGAACUGAGACACGGUCCAGUCUCCUACGGGAGGCAGCAGUAGGGAAUCUUCCGCAAUGGGCGAAAGCCUGACGGAGCAACGCCGCGUGAGUGAUGAAGGUCUUCGGAUCGUAAAACUCUGUUAUUAGGGAAGAACAUAUGUGUAAGUAACUGUGCACAUCUUGACGGUACCUAAUCAGAAAGCCACGGCUAACUACGUG
rnacentral:rRNA from 1 species